rnacentral:rRNA from 1 species
UGCAAGUCGAACGAUGAAGCCGCUUCGGUGGUGGAUUAGUGGCGAACGGGUGAGUAACACGUGGGCAAUCUGCCCUUCACUCUGGGACAAGCCCUGGAAACGGGGUCUAAUACCGGAUAAUACUCUGUUCCGCAUGGAACGGGGUUGAAAGCUCCGGCGGUGAAGGAUGAGCCCGCGGCCUAUCAGCUUGUUGGUGGGGUAAUGGCCUACCAAGGCGACGACGGGUAGCCGGCCUGAGAGGGCGACCGGCCACACUGGGACUGAGACACGGCCCAGACUCCUACGGGAGGCAGCAGUGGGGAAUAUUGCACAAUGGGCGAAAGCCUGAUGCAGCGACGCCGCGUGAGGGAUGACGGCCUUCGGGUUGUAAACCUCUUUCAGCAGGGAAGAAGCGCAAGUGACGGUACCUGCAGAAGAAGCGCCGGCUAACUACGUGCCAGCAGCCGCGGUAAUACGUAGGGCGCAAGCGUUGUCCGGAAUUAUUGGGCGUAAAGAGCUCGUAGGCGGCUUGUCACGUCGGAUGUGAAAGCCCGGGGCUUAACCCCGGGUCUGCAUUCGAUACGGGCUAGCUAGAGUGUGGUAGGGGAGAUCGGAAUUCCUGGUGUAGCGGUGAAAUGCGCAGAUAUCAGGAGGAACACCGGUGGCGAAGGCGGAUCUCUGGGCCAUUACUGACGCUGAGGAGCGAAAGCGUGUGGAGCGAACAGGAUUAGAUACCCUGGUAGUCCACGCCGUAAACG